rnacentral:lncRNA from 1 species
GCGUGACUUGGGUCAAGAGCUUGGCAGGAGGCUUUGGGAACAGUAGAAUCAACAGUGGUCAAGACUGAGAAGCCAGCACACUGGCCACCAUAAAACUGAAGAGAGAGCUUAUUGUACCUCACGCACAGCAGCAGGUUUAACAGAAAAUUAGACAUGUUUAUAGUCCCAGAUUUACAGCACGCCUUAUAAACACCUUAUUACUUAGAAUCCAGUCUGCUGUCCUAGAAACUAAGAAUGUGACUUUGUUAAGCAGGAGGAUUUGUUGACAUAAAUGUCUUGACUAAGUUUGCCAUUGCGGUUAACCAAAACGCACUUACUCCUGGGAAAGUAAACAGAAGCAAACAAAAUGCCUCUUAUACUACAAUACAUGUCUAUAGUAAGAGAAGCAUGCAGAAAAACACCAAGCUUUGGGUGCUCUUUUAUUUUCAUUACCUCGUCUACCUCUUGAGAAUGUCAGGCCUUCUCCAGCAUGCUGAAUGUCUGGCGGCUGAACUCAUCUUGGCAAAACACCUUGGAUUAUAUUGCUACAAAACAAAGAUAAAUCCUAAUUUCAAGGAUUUGGUUUUUCCUGUGUAUACCAGUUGAAUUUUGGAAAUCUAAAAAAAUAGAGCUAUUGGAAUUUCAAGAAAUCUCUACCUGGAAAAACAAAUUCUUAGACCUAUGUGCAACACCUGAGAAGAGAGAGAAGACAGCAUAUGAAAGGAUGACACAGGACAACACAGUUGGUAAUUCUGAGAAUGAAAUCCUCAAAGUGCAGAAUUCUCUGCCAAAUAAAUUUAAGUGAAUGAAAGCCAU